rnacentral:rRNA from 1 species
CCCCGUACACAAAAAUGCACAUACUGUGAGCUCGAUGAGUAGGGCGGGACACGUGGUAUCCUGUCUGAAUAUGGGGGGACCAUCCUCCAAGGCUAAAUACUCCUGACUGACCGAUAGUGAACCAGUACCGUGAGGGAAAGGCGAAAAGAACCCCGGCGAGGGGAGUGAAAAAGAACCUGAAACCGUGUACGUACAAGCAGUGGGAGCACGCUUAGGCGUGUGACUGCGUACCUUUUGUAUAAUGGGUCAGCGACUUAUAUUCUGUAGCAAGGUUAACCGAAUAGGGGAGCCGAAGGGAAACCGAGUCUUAACUGGGCGUUAAGUUGCAGGGUAUAGACCCGAAACCCGGUGAUCUAGCCAUGGGCAGGUUGAAGGUUGGGUAACACUAACUGGAGGACCGAACCGACUAAUGUUGAAAAAUUAGCGGAUGACUUGUGGCUGGGGGUGAAAGGCCAAUCAAACCGGGAGAUAGCUGGUUCUCCCCGAAAGCUAUUUAGGUAGCGCCUCGUGAAUUCAUCUCCGGGGGUAGAGCACUGUUUCGGCAAGGGGGUCAUCCCGACUUACCAACCCGAUGCAAACUGCGAAUACCGGAGAAUGUUAUCACGGGAGACACACGGCGGGUGCUAACGUCCGUCGUGAAGAGGGAAACAACCCAGACCGCCAGCUAAGGUCCCAAAGUCAUGGUUAAGUGGGAAACGAUGUGGGAAGGCCCAGACAGCCAGGAUGUUGGCUUAGAAGCAGCCAUCAUUUAAAGAAAGCGUAAUAGCUCACUGGUCGAGUCGGCCUGCGCGGAAGAUGUAACGGGGCUAAACCAUGCACCGAAGCUGCGGCAGCGACGCUGAUGCGUUGUUGGGUA